GAUGAACGCUGGCGGCGUGCCUAAUACAUGCAAGUCGAACGAGGUGCUUUUGUAGCAAUACGAGAGUAUCCUAGUGGCGAACGGGUGAGUAACGCGUUGGUGACCUACCCCAAAGUGUGGGAUAACAGUCCGAAAGGAUUGCUAAUACCGCAUGUGGUCAUUGGAUUUAGAACUGGUGACUAAGGGAGCAAUUCGCUUUGUGAGGGACCUGCGUCCCAUCAGCUAGUUGGUGAGGUAAUGGUUUACCAAGGCGACGACGGGUAGGGGACCUGAGAGGGUGGCCCCCCACAAUGUACCUGAAACACGGUCCAUAGACCUACGGGUGGCAGCAGUAGGGAAUAUUGCUCAAUGGGCGAAAGCCUGAAGCAGCAACGCCGCGUGUGUGAUGAAGGCCUUCGGGUCGUAAAGCACUUUUCUGGGAGAUGAGAAAGGACAGUAUCCCAGGAAUAAGUCUCGGCUAACUACGUGCCAGCAGCCGCCGUAAUAC
rnacentral:rRNA from 1 species